rnacentral:rRNA from 1 species
ACAUGUAAGUACCUUGUGAAAUCCCACUGCUCAACGGUGGAACUGCAGGGUAUACUGCAUGUCUUGAGGCCAGUAGAGGUUGCCGGAACGGUAGGUGUAGCGGUGAAAUGCGUAGAUAUCUACCGGAACGCCGAAGGUGAAGACAGGCAACUGGGCUGGUUCUGACGCUCAGGCACGAAAGCGUGGGGAGCGAACAGGAUUAGAUACCCUGGUAGUCCACGCCGUAAACGAUGUGCACUAGAUCCGAGAGGUUCUGACACCAUUCGGGUCGAAGCAAAAGUGUUAAGUGCACCGCCUGGGGAGUACGGUCGCAAGGCUAAAACUCAAAGGAAUUGACGGGGGCUCACACAAGCGGUGGAGCAUGUGGCUUAAUUCGAAGCAACGCGAAGAACCUUAUCCUGGGUUUGACAUGCACGGAUGCCCUUCUCGAAAGAGAGGUAAGCUGCCCAUUCGGGUGAAACGUGCACAGGUGCUGCAUGGCUGUCGUCAGCUCGUGCUGAGAAGUGUUAGGUUAAGUCCUUUAACGAGCGAAACCCCUGUCGUUAGUUGCCAGCGCGCCUUCGGGUGGCGGGGACUCUAACGAGACUGCCGGUGUCAAACCGGAGGAAGGCGGGGACGACGUCAAGUCCUCAUGGCCUUUAUGCCCAGGGCUGCACACGUGCUACAAUGGCGCGGACAAAGCGAAGCAAUACCGUAAGGUGGAGCAAAUCGCAAAAAUCGCGCCCCAGUUCGGAUCGAGGUCUGCAAC